rnacentral:rRNA from 1 species
GAUGAACGCUGGCGGCGUGCCUAAUACAUGCAAGUCGAGCGAACGGACGAGAAGCUUGCUUCUCUGAUGUUAGCGGCGGACGGGUGAGUAACACGUGGAUAACCUACCUAUAAGACUGGGAUAACUUCGGGAAACCUGAUCUAAUACCGGAUAAUAUUUCGAACCGCAUGGUUCAAAAGUGAAAGACGGUCUUGCUGUCACUUAUAGAUGGAUCCGCGCUGCAUUAGCUAGUUGGUAAGGUAACGGCUUACCAAGGCAACGAUGCAUAGCCGACCUGAGAGGGUGAUCGGCCACACUGGAACUGAGACACGGUCCAGACUCCUACGGGAGGCAGCAGUAGGGAAUCUUCCGCAAUGGGCGAAAGCCUGACGGAGCAACGCCGCGUGAGUGAUGAAGGUCUUCGGAUCGUAAAACUCUGUUAUUAGGGAAGAACAGAUGUGUAAGUAACUGUGCACAUCUUGACGGUACCUAAUCAGAAAGCCACGGCUAACUACGUG